rnacentral:lncRNA from 1 species
NGCCGAACGACAGUAGCAUCACAGAUCAGAUUUCAUUUCUCCAGUGAGGCGAGUCAAGCUGACUGACGAGAAGAGUGGGGUGAGACAGACAAGAAGAGCGAGACAGACAGACGAGAAGAGCGAGGCGAGACAGACAGACGAGAAGAGCGAGGCGAGACAGACAGACGAGAAGAGCGAGGCGAGACAGACAGAAGAGAAGAGCGAGACAGGCGAGGCGAGACAGACGAGAAGAGCGAGGCGAGACAGACGAGAAGGGCGAGACAGACGAGAAGAGCGAGGCGAGACAGACGAGAAGGGCGAGACAGACGAGAAGAGCGAGGCGAGACAGGCGAGGCGAGACAGACGAGAAGAGUGAGGCGAGACAGACGAGAAGAGCGAGGCGAGACAGGCGAGGCGAGACAGACGAGAAGAGCGAGGCGAGACAGGCGAGAAGAGCGAGGCGAGAAGGGCGAGGCGAGACAGGCGAGAAGAGCGAGGCGAGACAGGCGAGAAGAGCAAGGCGAGAAGGGCGAGGCGAGACAGACGAGAAGGGCGAGGCGAGACAGGCGAGAAGAGCGAGGCGAGACAGGCGAGAAGAGCGAGGCGAGACAGGCGAGAAGAGCGAGGCGAGAAGAGCGAGGUGAGACAGACGAGAAGAGCGAGGCGAGACAGACGACACAGACGAGGCGAGACAGACGAGACGGGCGAGGCGAGACGGGCGAGGCGAGACAUGCGAGGCGAGACAGACGAGAAGGGCGAGGCGAGACAGACGAGAAGAGCGAGGUGAGACAGACGAGACGGGCGAGGCGAGACAUGCGAGGCGAGACGGGCGAGGCGAAACAGACGAGAAGGGCGAGGCGAGACAGACGAGAAGGGCGAGGCGAGACAGACGAGAAGGGCGAGGCGAGGCGAGACAGACGAGAAGGGCGAGGCGAGACAGACGAGAAGGGCGAGGCGAGGCGAGACAGACGAGAAGGGCGAGGCGAGACAGACGAGAAGGGCGAGGCGAGGCGAGACAGACGAGAAGGGCGAGGCGAGACAGACGAGAAGGGCGAGGCGAGGCGAGACAGACGAGAAGGGCGAGGCGAGACAGACGAGAAGGGCGGAGCGAGGCGAGACAGACGACACAGACGAGAAGAGCGAGGCGAGACAGACGACACAGACGAGGCGAGACGGGCGAGGCGAGACGGGCGAGGCGAGGCGGA